ensembl:lncRNA
UUUAAAUUUUUUAUUUAUUUAUUUUUGGCUGUGCUGGGUCUUCUAUGCUGCAUGGGCUUUUCUCAAGUUGUGCUGAAUGGGGGCUACUCUCCAGGUACAGUGCUUCAGCUUCUCAUUGCAGUGGCUUCUCUUGUGGAGCACAGGCUCCAGGGCGUGCGGGCUUCAGUAGUUGGCAGCACGUGGGCUCCGUAUAUGUGGCACACAGACUUAGUUGCUUCUCAGCCUGUGUGAUCUUCCCCAACUAGGGAUCGAACCUGUGUCUCCAGGACUGGCAGACAGAUUCUUUAGCACUGAGCCACCCGGAAAGCCCUACAUAAGAUUUUAAUUCUGUUUUAGACAAACACCUCUGUAUGCAUCUUUUUCCCAGGCUGCCGGCUGCAUCCCAGCCUGUGAUCUGGAGAAUGUUCCAAGGGUUUCUUCUUCGAAGCCGCUUCAAUGCCUUUCCCCUCAAAGGGUUAGCCAGAUAGAGGUGAGCUGACCCUUGUCCCUGCAGGCCAGCAAGUGGGGGCUCCCCAUCACCCUCCCCAGUGCCUCUGUCCCUGGGGAAGAAGCCUGGCAUAGCGUCCCUUGGCUGGUGGGACUCUUUCUGAGGACAACAGAUGUUUUGCUCAGCCUUCUCUCUCCUCUCUGAAAAGUGCUGGCAGCCCCCUGCCCUGCCGCCAGCAAGCAAGGUGCUAACAGGGGUCAGUGAUGGGAGAGGCAGUGUAUGGCUCAAAGCCAGACCGACCCUCCUGCUGAGAACACAGAACCCCUGGGCCAGGAGCGGUGUCAGCAGGUCCUGAUCUUCCAGUGCCUGUGUGUGGUUCUUGGGAGCCUCUGUGCAGAAACUCGGAACGUAUCAACUGGAAAACAGCCUGAAGGAAUUCAUGCUCUAACAGGGAAACCAAACACAUCCGUGUGCUCUUUGGAAGAAUGGCAGGAUCACAACGAUGAUGACAAAAGAUGCAUUAAGAGGAAGCAGGGAGAAAGGAACAGGUUAGACUGGCGUAGAGGUGAGCUUAAUGAAAGAAGGGGAAGACGUGGCUUCAAACUCAUGCUGGAGAAGGGGAAGGGAGAGGGAGCCAGUGGGGAGGAGGACACUGUCUCCUGGGUAGGGAGGGGCGCAGCCUCGUGGAGCGGGACUGCAAGGGUCCAAAGAGGAGGGAGAAGCCUCUGGAGAAGCCUGGAAGAUUCAGGUCCUCCCUCCACGAGGACAGCAGAGAGGGGACCACCAGGGAGUCUAUGUGGACACAGAGCAGCAGCCCCCCACAAACUUUAGACAAACAGGCAUUCAGUGUAUAGAAAUCCUGAGAAACAGGCAUGGGGUGUGUGUGUGUGUGUGUGUGUGUGUGUGUGUCACAUUUCAGCUGUCUAAUCCCAGUACUUCCUGCUCUUCAAAUACUGGAUGGGGUAAGAUUUCUGUCGCAGCUACAGAAAAUCGCCAGGGGCUCAGGCAAUCAUCCAGCAGGUGACCCAGGCAGGAGCUCUUGGGGUGAGUCCCCAGGACAGCCUUUAACCCGGUCCUGUUAGGUCCCUGGUCAUUUUCUGCUGAGUGGACAAUAUGCAAGCAGGCUGACAGAGCACAGCUUCCUGAGGAAAGAGCUUCCUGCCCUGCAGUCCAGUUCCAGCCCUGGCCCUUCUCAGGCCGUGGGGCAAGGCUGGGUGAUGAAGUUGAAAGGUGUUGAGAAGUGCAGGGGAAUCUAUACACAGCUCAAAGGGCAGAUCACUGAGGUCCGCAGGCCCCCUUCUCUAAGAUGGCUCUAGGACUGAUCAAUCUCUGAGACUGACUGGAAACCAGCCCAGUGAAGGUUGGUUUCUGAUAGAUCUGCCUGGGCUAAUGUGAGGGCUCGAAGCUCACAGCAUGACCCAUUGGGAGAUUGUGUGAGUCAAGCUGGGUGAGACCUUUGCAGACCAUGGAGAAGUCAUUCAGGGGGUGCCAUGCCCCAGAACAUGAAUGUAGAGCUCGGCAAGCAGGCCUGGGCACCCUGGGAGGCUGGGACCUGCCCUGGGAGUCCAGGUGGUGGGAGUGGAGGCAGGGAGGCCACCUUGCAAUCUGGUUGAAGCUGUGUGCAGGGAGCAGACUGCUGCUGGAAGCAACUUCCCCACCACCACCCCAAGAAGGCCCAGGUGGUUUGCAAGUGGGGACAGAGGGCAGGCCAGUCAUGGAGACCUUCGGCAAGGACAAAGGCCACCAGGCUUAGUUCUCGGCAUGGCUCCCCGCCAGCUGCACGACCAGGGUUAGAUGAUCAACUUCACUCCAAUGAGUAAGCUUCCUGUAAAACUGGGAAAAACAGUCCACAUUGCAGCCCAAGGGGCAGCAUCAGCUAUAGUGCUUGUAAGAGACUCCUCCAUCCUCACAGGGAUGCAGGAAUCUCACGUGGUCACCUUCCCUCCGUGGUCAGUUUGCCUCCGCCCUCUUCC